AAUUCGUACCUAUGUAACUUGUGUCAAUUAUCGUCAGCCACCAAAAACAGCCAAACUUUGUACAAAACCGCGAGAAAGCUGCGUCUGUCUGCCAAAUCCCUCCCUCUCUGUCUCUCGAAUUACCAUUUGGCAUUUGCGACCUCAGUCACUAAUACUACCUUGCCACUUGCCACCUCUUCUUCUCUCCUCUCCUCUUCUGCGACCCAGAAUUUUCGCGUUCUUUCCCCUUCUAUUUUUUCCUGCCAACUUAAUACCAAAAUUAUCAUAAAUCCCAAUUAUCUCAAAAUCUCCCUCCAGAAAUAUCACUCUAGGGUUUCUAUUUUUUUUCGGAUUACACCUCCUACAAAUAAAUUUAGUUCGAAUUUUUCGAAAAAGUUUCUCCCUUUCGGCCCCAGAAAUGGGGCAUUUUCAUUUAUUUUUCCAGACAUUGGAAGAUCAGCUGGAAUUGGGAUACUGCGCAUAGAUCACAUUGCCUUCCAAGUUUUAAUGGUGUCUGCACUUCGAAGUCAGAGAAUGGCAGCCUUGGCAAGGCUUCUAACAAGGUCGCAUACUAUUGCAGAUGACUUUGGCCACGAAAAUUAGCUGUGCAGCAGUACAUUCACAGAGAAUUCAGGGAGGCAGAUGAAGCAAAUUUAAUUGAUGAAAUAGAUAUGCAUGUGUUUGGUUUGCGGCCGAUGACAGAUCCAUUGCAUUUGGUAUGUUGUAAUGCAUGUAAGAAGCCAAUCAAGGCCAGCCAAUAUGCAAUUCAUGCAGAGCUUUGUAAUUCAUUGAACUGUAGUGAAGAAUUGGUUUGGAGCUUGAAGGAGGCACAGGGAACAAAAAGCCACCACGGAAGGACCGAAAGAAGUUGCUGGCUGUUAAUUCCAACCAAAUUACUACUGUAAUAGAUCGAGGCAAAUUUGAGAUUCUUGAUGCCAGUGAUAUUUCUGCACCGGAAUUGUGUUUGAUGCUCCCG